UAGGGAAUCUUCCGCAAUGGACGAAAGUCUGACGGAGCAACGCCGCGUGAGUGAAGAAGGUUUUCGGAUCGUAAAACUCUGUUGUUAGGGAAGAACAAGUGCCGUUCGAAUAGGGCGGCGCCUUGACGGUACCUAACCAGAAAGCCACGGCUAACUACGUGCCAGCAGCCGCGGUAAUACGUAGGUGGCAAGCGUUGUCCGGAAUUAUUGGGCGUAAAGCGCGCGCAGGUGGUUCCUUAAGUCUGAUGUGAAAGCCCACGGCUCAACCGUGGAGGGUCAUUGGAAACUGGGGAACUUGAGUGCAGAAGAGGAAAGUGGAAUUCCAAGUGUAGCGGUGAAAUGCGUAGAUAUUUGGAGGAACACCAGUGGCGAAGGCGACUUUCUGGUCUGUAACUGACACUGAGGCGCGAAAGCGUGGGGAGCAAACAGG
rnacentral:rRNA from 2 species